GAAGGUGGCCUGUGAGGGUUGCUGGAGGUAUCAGAAGUGCGAAUGCUGACAUAAGUAACGAUAAAGCGGGUGAAAAGCCCGCUCGCCGGAAGACCAAGGGUUCCUGUCCAACGUUAAUCGGGGCAGGGUGAGUCGACCCCUAAGGCGAGGCCGAAAGGCGUAGUCGAUGGGAAACGGGUUAAUAUUCCCGUACUUGGUGUUACUGCGAAGGGGGGACGGAGAAGGCUAUGUUGGCCGGGCGACGGUUGUCCCGGUUUAAGCGUGUAGGUGUGUGUUCCAGGUAAAUCCGGUUCACUUUAACACUGAGGCGUGACGACGAGGCACUACGGUGCUGAAGCAACAAAUGCCCUGCUUCCAGGAAAAGCCUCUAAGCAUCAGGUAACAUCAAAUCGUACCCCAAACCGACACAGGUGGUCAGGUAGAGAAUACCAAGGCGCUUGAGAGAACUCGGGUGAAGGAACUAGGCAAAAUGGUGCCGUAACUUCGGGAGAAGGCACGCUGACAUGUAGGUGAAGUGAUUUACUCAUGGAGCUGAAGUCAGUCGAAGAUACCAGCUGGCUGCAACUGUUUAUUAAAAACACAGCACUGUGCAAACACGAAAGUGGACGUAUACGGUGUGACGCCUGCCCGGUGCCGGAAGGUUAAUUGAUGGGGUCAGCGCAAGCGAAGCUCCUGAUCGAAGCCCCGGUAAACGGCGGCCGUAACUAUAACGGUCCUAAGGUAGCGAAAUUCCUUGUCGGGUAAGUUCCGACCUGCACGAAUGGCGUAAUGAUGGCCAGGCUGUCUCCACCCGAGACUCAGUGAAAUUGAACUCGCUGUGAAGAUGCAGUGUACCCGCGGCAAGACGGAAAGACCCCGUGAACCUUUACUAUAGCUUGACACUGAACAUUGAGCCUUGAUGUGUAGGAUAGGUGGGAGGCUUUGAAGUGUGGACGCCAGUCUGCAUGGAGCCGACCUUGAAAUACCACCCUUUAAUGUUUGAUGUUCUAACGUGGACCCGUUAUCCCGGGUUGCGGACAGUGUCUGGUGGGUAGUUUGACUGGGGCGGUCUCCUCCUAAAGAGUAACGGAGGAGCACGAAGGUUGGCUAAUCCUGGUCGGACAUCAGGAGGUUAGUGCAAUGGCAUAAGCCAGCUUGACUGCGAGCGUGACGGCGCGAGCAGGUGCGAAAGCAGGUCAUAGUGAUCCGGUGGUUCUGAAUGGAAGGGCCAUCGCUCAACGGAUAAAAGGUACUCCGGGGAUAACAGGCUGAUACCGCCCAAGAGUUCAUAUCGACGGCGGUGUUUGGCACCUCGAUGUCGGCUCAUCACAUCCUGGGGCUGAAGUAGGUCCCAAGGGUAUGGCUGUUCGCCAUUUAAAGUGGUACGCGAGCUGGGUUUAGAACGUCGUGAGACAGUUCGGUCCCUAUCUGCCGUGGGCGCUGGAGAACUGAGGGGGGCUGCUCCUAGUACGAGAGGACCGGAGUGGACGCAUCACUGGUGUUCGGGUUGUCAUGCCAAUGGCACUGCCCGGUAGCUAAAUGCGGAAGAGAUAAGUGCUGAAAGCAUCUAAGCACGAAACUUGCCCCGAGAUGAGUUCUCCCUGAGACUUAGAGUCUCCUGAAGGAACGUUGAAGACGACGACGUUGAUAGGCCGGGUGUGUAAGCGCAGCGAUGCGUUGAGCUAACCGGUACUAAUGAACCGUGAGGCUUAACCUUACAACGCCGAAG
rnacentral:rRNA from 1 species